rnacentral:lncRNA from 1 species
GUGUAUGAAGCACAUUGUACAGUAGUUCUGCCUGCACAUUGUACAGUAGUUCUCCCUGCACUGUCAUGCACUCAGAAAUCUCUGAUUUGGUUUAUGCCUGAUCCACAUUAUGAAAAAAAGAAGAAAUAAGGUUUCUCCACACAUUUGCAUUUCCAGUUCCUUACAGCUACAAUGCCCUGCACGGCAAAGAGCAGCACACGCCUGAGCAGCAGGAGUCACUGAGC